rnacentral:tRNA from 1 species
GCCUGGGUGGCUCAGUCAGUUAAGCAUCUGACUUCAGCUCAGGUCAUGAUCUCAACGGUUCACGGGUUUGAGCCCCGCAUCAGGCU